rfam:Schistosoma mansoni strain Puerto Rico chromosome 3, complete genome
AUCCAACUGACGAGUCCCAAACAGAACGAAACGUGCGUCUUGAAU